rnacentral:rRNA from 1 species
UACGGGGGGGGCAAGCGUUGUUCGGAAUUACUGGGCGUAAAGGGCUCGUAGGUGGCCAACUAAGUCAGACGUGAAAUCCCUCGGCUUAACCGGGGAACUGCAUCUGAUACUGGAUGGCUUGAGUUUGGGAGAGGGACGCGGAAUUCCAGGUGUAGCGGUGAAAUGCGUAGAUAUCUGGAGGAACACCGGUGGCGAAGGCGGGUCUCUGGGCCGAUACUGACGCUGAGGAGCGAAAGCGUGGGGAGCGAACAGG